rnacentral:rRNA from 1 species
UAACACGUAGCUAAUCUACCUCAAAGCGCGGGAUAACGUGUCGAAAGACAGGCUAAUACCGCAUAAGCUCGCGAUCUGUAGAGGGUUGCGAGAAAAGGCGCAAGUCACUUUGAGAUGAGGCUGCGGCCCAUCAGCUAGUUGGGGUGGUAAAAGCACACCAAGGCAACGACGGGUAGGGGACCUGAGAGGGUGACCCCCCACACUGGGACUGAGACACGGCCCAG